rnacentral:rRNA from 1 species
GACGAACGCUGGCGGCGUGCUUAACACAUGCAAGUCGAACGGAAAGGCCCUGCUUUUGUGGGGUGCUCGAGUGGCGAACGGGUGAGUAACACGUGAGUAACCUGCCCUUGACUUUGGGAUAACUACAGGAAACUGGGGCUAAUACCGGAUAGGAGCUCCUGCUGCAUGGUGGGGGUUGGAAAGUUUCGGCGGUUGGGGAUGGACUCGCGGCUUAUCAGCUUGUUGGUGGGGUAGUGGCUUACCAAGGCUUUGACGGGUAGCCGGCCUGAGAGGGUGACCGGCCACAUUGGGACUGAGAUACGGCCCAGACUCCUACGGGAGGCAGCAGUGGGGAAUAUUGCACAAUGGGCGGAAGCCUGAUGCAGCAACGCCGCGUGCGGGAUGACGGCCUUCGGGUUGUAAACCGCUUUCGCCUGUGACGAAGCGUGAGUGACGGUAAUGGGUAGAGAAGCACCGGCUAACUACGUG